rnacentral:tRNA from 1 species
GCGUCGUUCAACGGCAGGACGCCGGAUUGUCGAUCCGGUCAUGCGGGUUCGAAUCCCGCCGCCCCA